UCUUCCUUGGUCUAGUGGUCAUGAUUUCCGCUUGUCAAACGUCCUACGACGUUAACAAGCGCGGGAGACCGGGGUACGUUAACUUCCAUUCUGAACAUAGACACCAUUCCUAACUUGUGAAAAGGUUCGAUUCCCCGAGGGAGAG